UACAGAGGUCUCAAGCGUUGUUCGGAUUCAUUGGGCGUAAAGGGUGCGUAGGCGGCGCGGUAAGUCGGGUGUGAAAUCUCGGAGCUUAACUCCGAAACUGCAUUCGAUACUGCCGUGCUUGAGGACUGGAGAGGAGACUGGAAUUUACGGUGUAGCGGUGAAAUGCGUAGAUAUCAGGAGGAACACCGAUGGCGAAGGCAGGUCUCUGGGCCACUACUGACGCUGAGAGCGAAAGCAUGGGGAGCGAACAGG
rnacentral:rRNA from 1 species